rnacentral:rRNA from 1 species
GAUUGUAGUCUGCAACCCGACUACACGAAGCUGGAAUCGCUAGUAAUCGCGAAUCAGAAUGUCGCGGUGAAUACGUUCCCGGGUCUUGUACACACCGCCCGUCACACCAUGGGAGUCGGAAAUGCCCGAAGUCAGUGACCCAACCGUAAGGAGGGAGCUGCCGAAGGUGGAGCCGGUAACUGGGGUGAAGUCGUAACAAGGUACC